GGCGGGGCCUGGAGAUGGCGCUCAAACCUGCAGGCUGCGGGCGGUGCAGGAGGGAUCCGGAAGAGACGAGGCAGGAAGAAACUCCUGGUCCUUUCGCUUUUAAGGAACGUGGCACCUAGACAGGUGUUCCAGCCUCCGGUGAACCAGUCUUCCUAGUGAGAGCACGAGAAGCCCGUUGUCCUUCAUUCCUCAGCUAUGGAUUUCCCUGAAAGUUGAGAACUGACCAUAUUCUCGAUGCCUCCUCCGACCUGUGAUUUCAUGAUUCACAUCGCUUCCCCAGAACCUGCUUAACAGACGGGAUUCCUGAGAAUGGAGCAGAGUUUGAAUUCAGAGUCCUGGCUUUGCCAUAUCAGCAGUUAUAAUUGUCCUUCUGUUGUUUGAUGACCUCCCUGCCCUGCUUCAAAAGGAAGAGAAAUCAAAGAGUUGACGACCCUGAGCGCAAGGCCUGGGACGUUCUUCCCCAAACUCGCUUUAAUAUCACCUUCUCAAAAGAACUCUUCCCUGAACACCUUGUCUCAAGAUGUUCUCUAGUUUGUCUUCUUGUUCUGUCAUUUAUUUGUCUGUUCAUUGUUUGUGUGUUUUUUGAGGCGGAGUCUCGCUCUGUCGCCUAGGCUGGAGUGCCGUGGCACGAUCUCGGCUCUCUGCAACCUCUGCCUCCUGGGUACAAAGCGAUUCUUGUACCUCAGCCUCCCAAGUAGCUGGGAUUACAGGCGUGUACCACCAUGCCCGGCUAAUUUUUGUAUUUUCAGUGGAUACGGGGUUUCAUCAUGUUGGCCAAGCUGGGCUCUAUCUCCUGACCUCAGGGGAUCUGCAUUUGAGGAUAAACCCUGUCUUGGCUCCUCCCUGACGGGGGUGAGAAGUAGCCCUCCUGGAAUUGCCUCAAAGCCCCCGGUUAUCACCAGUGUUCUCGGUUGCAAAUUACGAAACAUAAAUAAACUCAGACUAACAGAUGCAGCAAAGGAAUUUAUCAGGAAGGAAUGGGGAGCUCCCAGAACUGAUGGGAAGGCUGGAGAACCAGGCUCAGAAAAUGCACUGAAGUGGUGAGCGCAGAGGCUUGAAUGUUGCCAGGACUCUCCUCCCAGUCCUUUAUCUCUUCUCUCUGUAUGCGAGCUAUUCUCCUCAAGGCUAGGCACGUGGCUGCAGCAGCGCUCACCACUCACAACUCUCACCCGUUCCACCGGAGAGAGACUGAGGAUUUCUGCUUCUGGUCUGAAGGACAAAGUUUUAGGGAAAAACUUUGAUUGGUCCAACAUAGAUGGAGAAAUGACAACUGGAGAGGGGAGUUCUACUGGAGAGGGGAGUUCACACAUCAUAUACACUGAAAGCUGCCCAUCAAAAGAGUUGCAGAACCAGGACUACAGCCCUUGCAUCUUGACUGCCAGUACGAUGCAGGUUAAACUCUGUGUUUGAUGCUUGUUGAUGUGGACGUCUGGAACUUGAAUAGAAGACAUUUCUUAUUUCAGAUGCAUCCAUUAGCAGGUCUUAGCCAGGAGCCAGGCCCUUGCAAGUAUAUAUUGCAAGUAAUUGAUGACAUUGGAGCCAGAAAUCGAAUGAACCGGGCCCAGUUCAAUCCACUUACUGGACAAGCUCCUCAAGCACUCUAAGCCCCAAUUUCCUCCUCUGUAAAGUGGGCAUAAAUUACAUUUACCUUGAGGGUUGCUGUGAAGGCUAGAAAUAAUAUAUGUAAUGUCCCCUGAUACACAGAAGGUGCUCAAGAAAUAGUAAGCUCUUCUAAUGAUUGUUAUUGAUGACAAAGAGGAUGAAAAAACAAAUGCUCUGACUUCUCAAAGGAGAGAGAAUCAUCCCUGAGGAUUGUGUCUUGGAGAACAUAAAUCCAUAUUUUCUCUUUCCUGAACAAAUUCCCUCUGGAAGGGCACAAAGGGAACAAAUUCCCUUGUUAGGAAGGAAGGAAGGGAGGAAGGGAAGGAAGGAUGGAAAACAAGAGCAAGGAAGGGUUGGCAGGUUGUGACUGUCUACCUCUCCCUGAGGCUUGCUCUGCUACACCCACCCCAAACUCUGGUCCAUCCCAUUUCCAUGCUGAGAUCAGGCCACACACAGAAGUGUUGGUGUCAGACCACCAGCUUUGAGCCAUCCCUGGGAAUCCCCAGGAUACUGGAUAGCAGAUUUGGAGCAUACAGUUCCCACCCACUGUGACUGAUGGCUAGGGAGCUCAAGGUUAUGGAGGAAGCUCUCAUAAGUCAAUGCAAGGUUGUGUAUCUCCCGUUCCUCACUGGCUUAGCCCUCAGAGCCCUUGUCCCUGCUUUCUGCCUUGCGACUAGGUCUUCACAUUAGUGUUUUAUCAAACAAAAGACAGGCUGACAUCUUUAAAGUAUGGUCUUUAUUAAGUAGGGAGCAAAUCAUUCCACACCUUCCCUCCCAAUACCUCCCUCACCAGUGACUUCAAGCCUUCAAACAAGAGGGGACACCUCUCCCCACUUCCCAGUGACCUUUCUCCGCCCCUCAUUGCAUCCAUGAGUGACACCACUGAGAUCAGAUGCAGUGAUGUUAAUUGAAAUGGACAUUAAGGGCUCACUUGCUCAAGCAGAAGCACAUUAGAAGAAAUAUAAACGAGGAAGACAUUGGGUCAGUAACAUUUGUUCUAAUGAGAAUAACCAUCUCUAGAGCAUCUUGUUCAAAAAGGAUUGAGUGCCCAGGAAACAACAGAUACAUGAGGCCUUCCACCCCCACCCCACCCCCAAUACUCAGAAGUGUCACACAUACUUGCAGAGACUUUUCAAUCAUCCUUGCUUCAAUCAUGAUUCCCCAGGUGCAUUUCUGUGGGUGUCACCCAGCACAUUCCCCCUCGUGUUCUUCAUCUGUUUCUCCAAAUCUACUUCUCCAUAUUAUUUUAAGAGUUUGUGACCAGAUGUUUGUAACAUGUGGUCCUAGAUGUUCUUAUUUGCUAUACCUCAGGAAUUCUUGACUAGGUGACCCAAGAGCUUCUCAACUUUGGAUCCAAUAAGGGGAACCUAAGGCUAAAAGAAUCCCAUCUGGAGUAGAGAGGAAGAUACCCAAUUACCCAAUUUUUUUGUUUGUUUUUGUUUGUUUUCUGAGACAGAGUCUCUCUCUGUCACCCAAGCUGGAGUGCUGUGGUGCGGUCAUAGCUCACUGCAGCAUUGAACUCCUGAGCUAAGCAGUCCUUCUGCCUCAGCCUUCCGAGUAGCUGGGACUAUAGGCAUGUACCACCAUGCCCAGCUAAUUUUUAAAAAAAGUUUUUGUAAAGACAGGGUCUCCUUAUGUUGCAAAGGCGGGUCUUGAACUCCUGGGCUCAAGAGGUCUUCCCACCUCAGCCUCCCAAAGUGCUGGGAUUACAGGCAUGAGCCACCACAUCUAGCCCAAGUUUCUGCAUAAAGAACAUGAACGUUUUCCUUAGAUCAUGCUUUACAUGGCACAUCAUGUCUUUAUGGUUAUUAGUGGGCAGUUGCAAGGUAUAGAUACCAUUUUUGUCUAUGCUAUAUCAUUUCCCAAUAUUCUUAACAGCAUCUGACUUAAAAAAAAUUUUUUUUGAGACAGGGUCUUCCUCUGUCACCCAGUAUGGAGUGCAGUGCUGCAGUCAUGGCUCACUGCAGCCUCAACUUCCCAGGCUCAGGUGAUCCUCCCACCUCAGCCUCCAGAGUAGCUGGGACCACAGGUCGUGCCACCAUGCCCAGCUAAUUUUUGUAUUUUUGUGUAGAGACAGGUUUUCGCCAUGUUCUUCAGGCUGGUCCCUAACUCCUAAGCUCGAGCAAUCUGCCCGUCCCAGACUCCCUGUAAGUGCUUGGAUUACAGACAUGAGCCAUUGUGCCUGGCCAGCAUCUGAUUUUUCUGUGAGCCUCUACUCCUAUUCUUGGUCCAGGCCAUAAAGAGUAUGGAAACUAAAGUCUGACUGCCUAGGUUUGAAUAUUGGCUCUGCCAUUGACCAGCUAUGUGAACCUGGAAAAAUUCCUAACCUCUCUGUGCCUCAUAUAAGAAAUGUGGAGAAUAGUAUCUACCUCAUGGAGUUUUUGGGUUAUAUGAGUUAAUUCAGAUAAAAUGUUUAAAAGAGUGACUGGCACAUAGUAAACACCCCCCAAAUGUCAUCUAGUAUUAAUAUUAUUACUAUUAGUUCAGAAGGGGCUGACUUCAUUCCCCCUGGCCCUGGUGAUGGCACCUGACCCAGGCCUGGCCAAUCAGGACAUUCUGUCCCCCUGUCCACCAUGGAAUCCUUCUCCAUGGUCAGUCAUACCAGUCAUUUGGAUUGGCACUGUGGGCUGUGAUCUAAUGUGAACUCUGAAAGCCUGGUCAUGCUGGGCCAAAGCUGCAAAGUAAAGGUAAACAUCAAAUCUGGGCUGGUUCAUCAGGAGAGAACAUUCUGAGUAGGGAGACCUGGGGACUAUCCAGUUUCACCUUGCAGGUGAAGGCCCACUCUCCCUACUCUAGCCGUUAGUUAGACCCCAUGAAAAUAAUUGCAGUAGACUGUUAAUUUGAUGGCUUCCAGUGAACCAUGCUUCUGGCAUUCAUACUCUUAUGUAGUCCCCUCCCACAUUGACUCUGGACUUUGCCAUAUUGAUGCAGGGCAAGUAAGCCCCAGAAUUGGGGCUUAGCCCGAGAAGGUUCUUCACUUCAUCCAGGAAAGUAUUCAAGGGCAAACAGGUGGUGGUAGAUGCCAACUUUUUUUUUUUUUUUUUUUUUUUUUGAGACGGAGUCUUACUCUGUCAUCAGGCUGGAGUGCAGUGGCACGAUCUCUGCUCACUGCAACCUCCGACUCCCUGGUUCAAAUGAUUCUGCCUCAGCCUCCCGAGUAGCUGGGAUUACAGGCAGGCACCACCAUGCCCAGCUAAUUUUUGAAUUUUAGUAGAGAUGGGGUUUCCCCACGUUGGUCAGGAUGGUCUCGAUCUCCUGACUUCAUGAUUCACCCACCUCAGACUCCCAAAGUGCUGGGAUUACAGGUGUGAGCCACUGUGCCCAGCCUAGAUGGCAACUUUUAUUGGAGCAGCAGUGUCCAACAGCAGCAGAGGUACUCCUCCUUGUGGAACAGGACUACCCCCUAGGCAGCAUGCCCAGAGUAGCAGCUCAGGGGUAAUUCUGUCGUCAUAUUUAUACCCACUUUUAAUUACAUGCAAAUUAAGGGGCAGGUUAUUCAGAAUUUUCUGGACAAAGGAUGGUACUUCCAGGCCAUUGCCAUGGAAAGGGGUGGUAACUUUUAGGUGUUGCCAUCACCGUGGUAAACUGACGUGGUGUUGCUGGGUAUGUCUCAUGGAGAGGUGCUUUCACUGCUUCCCUGUUCACCUAGUCUUCAGUCUGGUCCAGAGUUUCAGCCCCACCUCUGGAGUUGAGUCCUGCCUUCUCUCUCAAUGUGACAAAUGUUGGCCAGUGGUAUAUCGCAGCUGUGAUGCAAGCAGAGGCUUGGUAAAUGCCUGCAUACUGGGGUUUGUCCUCUUGGAAUGCUCAUUUGUGGGAGCCCUGAACAACUAUGUAAGAAGUCUGGCUACCCUGCUGGAGAGAACACAUGGUGGGAAGAGACUAAAAUUAUGUGAAGAGAGUCAGGCCAGCCAUCCCAGCUUCUCUGCUGAGCCCCGCCAUCAGCCAACCUGCCAGCUGAAUGCAACCGUAAGAGUGAUCACCAGCAAGAUCACUAGAAAAACCACCUAACUGAGCCCACCCUGGAUUGAACAAUCAUAAACAAAUAAAAUUGUUAUUGUUUUAAAUCACAAA